rnacentral:tRNA from 1 species
GGUCUUAUAUUCAAUUAUGAUAUUAAAUUGCAAGUUUAAUGGUGUUAUUUAAACUAAGGCUU